UUUCAUUUUACAGACAUCUGUUGAAAUCAGUUGUUGAGGAGCUGAUUCCACAGGAGGAACUACAUGCUUUAAAGGUGGAAGCAACUGCACAGUUGGCAAGGGAACUACCGGCGAGCUUCCCUCCCCAGCCCUUCAGCUGCGAUAUCGCCUGGGUUCAGCUGAGCCGCCUGCACCAAGGGAGCAGCUCCUGUCACGAAAGUGCACUGAGGACUUGCUUUUCCACUUUCCGGGAAAGGGGGUCGAGCUUUGAAAACCGAAAUAGACGCAAGAGAGCUGCGAGCUCCGGGCAGGGCAGCCCCCCGACCACACCUCCGCCGCCCGGGACGGCCGGGAGCGUCUCCGGUCCCCCCGCCCCAGCGCUGCCGAACAAAGCGGGCACGGAGAGACAGAACAUAGCAUUUGCUCGGGUCCCCCCUCUGCUCGCCUGUGAUUUAUCUGUUUACAGCCGGGACCCCCUCAGUUGAAACAAAAAAAAAAAAAAAAAAAAAUCAAUGAAAAUGUAGUUGGCGAAAAGGCGGGCAAACUGCUGAAAAAAAAAAUUUGUGAAUGGAAGAAUGUGUUUGUGCAUUCAUUGUUAAAAUAAAGAGCGUGCCGUGACGUGAGCGCCCGGGAGCCAAUGGGCGAGGGGAUAAUAUUUUUAAAUAUCCUCCCCGGGAGCCAAUGGGGGAGGCGGUGGCAAAGACUAGCGCAGGCGCGAGCCAAUGGCGGGGCGGUAUGCUAAUGAGGAGUUGGUCAGGCAGGAGCUGAAUGUCAACUAGUCAAAGAUGGAGGCUGGAGCGGGGCGGCCAUGAGGCGUGGAAUGAAGCUCCUUCCAGUCACCUGCUGCAAGACACAUUAUCCAGCUUCCUAACCUUAAGGAUGAGACCCUAUCAAUAUUGCCUCUGCUUUUGUGAUCAGGGUAGUAGUGCAAUAUUGCUUAUAGGGUCUUUUCUUUUGAGGGUUAUUCUUCACGGCGAGAAGAAAGCCACAGCAGGAAAAAAUAAUCCUAUGUGCCCAUCGAGUUAAGGGAAAAGUUGUGAAAUGCCGAGCCUUGUUAGAUAGGCAAGUAACUGUGCAGAUAUGUUAUUUGCAACAAAUAAUCGUGCUAUUGUGGUGACUCAGGUUGUGAGUAAUGGGCAUAUUUUUGAUGCUAUCGCACAGGACUCAAAACGGCCUCGUGUUUAAAAUGCACAAGCAGUGAUUGAAACCGCAGAAACCCAUCAUGGCUCCAUUUUAAAUAGUAUGGGUCCCAAGACGUUUGAAGGGUGCCUAUUUUACAUAGCGAUGUAAACACCCACCAAGGGAUGGGAGGAGAUCCAUAGCCACGCUUGCCGUUUCUGUGCCUGAACCCAGCCCGAAAACCAGUGCGGCGCGAAGCAGAGCGUAGCACAAAGAGGCCGAGGCUGUCAUCCCGGUAACCUCCUGGAAACAAAGCCCGUGCCUGCGGCCGGCCGGAGCCCCGGGGCCGGGGGGCGCGGCGGGGCUGGGCGGGCGCUGCUCACCGAGGUACGUGGGAACGGAGCGGCGGCGGGGGCGUAAAGCCUCCGCUCCGCUUUGUGAGGGAUCAGCUGGGGACUGACAGCGGCCGGGAUGGCCGGGUGGGUGGCCCUGCCUUCCAUUUCAGGUGGUCCCCGCGGUCCCUUUCGGGACCUCAGGGGCCCAGGAAAAGGGGUGGUGGGAGGGGACUGGGGGCCGGAUCGGGGCCGCCGCGGGGCUUUCCGAGCCGGUCCCGGGCAGCGCGGGGCCGCUGCGGCGCCUCUCCCCGCGACGGCGGGGGGGGCCCGCAGCCCUACGCUGCCCUCGGCUUGGCCCCCCAGCCCCGUUCCGGGGGGAGGCGGGAGCGCGGGGACAAAGGCAGGAGCGCCGGGCCGGGCCGGGGGCGGCGGGGCCAGCGCCGGGAGCGCCGGGCGGGCUGCCCCUCUUUCCCUGUUGCACUACUGUCACGGUCGCAGCGAGCAGUGCAAUAAUGAAAGGGCGUCAGUGCGCCGGGGAGCGGCGAGAGCGGGGGCGCGCCGGUGGCAGCGUGCGGGGACGGGGUGCCCCGAGGGCCACCUUAACGGGGGGCGGGGAGGGAGGGGGGGCUUCGGUUGUGCAACUUUCUUUGUUUAACCACGCGGGGCGGGGGGCGUGCGGACGCGGGGGGCAGGGCAAGGUGAGCGGCCCCGCGCCCCGCCCUGCCCCACGCCCGCCCCGCGCCCCGCCCGCUCCCCCCGCCGAGCGGGGCAGGACGCCCCUCCGCUGUACCCGGCCCACACCAAAUAAAUAAAGUGACUCCCACGUCCCCUGU